GAGCCACAGGAAACUGGAGCUCAUACAGAUGUGCCCUGCUGGGAGGUGGAGAUGACUCACUAAGCCCCACCCUGACUUGAAUGAAAUCUGCCUUGACCAACUCUUGGGAGACACUCACCAACCAGCCAGCUGAUGGGUGAUUUGGCUUUCUGAUUGCUGCUACUAGGAGGAGGGGGCCCCAGGUGCAGGAGGAGCAUUCCAGUUACUGAAAGACUAAUACCAAUUGUUAAUGGAUAUAUAUAUUCCAAGGAGUCAUGUCAGUUUCUGAUCUCUGCAUCAGACUGGCAGGAUCCCAUCAAAGAGAGCAACUCCCUCUUUUCUUCAAAUGACAGAUGGCAAAUGGCCAGCUGCUGAGUUGUGGGAAGCCCACACCACAUGAAGAGGCCCAGCUACGCUCCCGGCUGACAGCCAGCUCAGCGCCUAGCCAUGUGGGUGCACCAGCUUGGAUUGUUCAGCCCAUUUGAGCCCCCAGAUGCCUGUAGCCUCAACAGGCAACAGAUGGAGCAUAAUUGCUCAGUUGAGCUUAGUCAAUCCAAAGACCAGUGAGAACUAAUAAAAUGGUUGUUGUGUUACUUCA